UUCAUCACUGAAUUUCUAGAAGAGAGACAACUGGGCCUACAAGACUUUCUACAAAACCUGGUUGCUCAUAAAGAUGUGCGAAAUAGGCCUUCUGUGAGACACUGGGAGGGACCAACUGUUGCCUUCAGAGAGACUUAAUGGAGAGAGACUGAGCCCCUGAGAAAUGUCCUGCUGCACAAAGAGCUCCAAAUGAGCCAGCCGGAGAGAACAAAAACCCAAGCGGAGCUGAACAGAGAGCCCAGAGACUUUUUAACAGCACAUGAAUAUAAAGAAGUGGAGAGAGAUGAUCUCAGGAGACCAAAUAAAAGUUCUGAACUAGGGUUCAUAAGGUGUCAUGGAUCAUGCUGGUGCGGAUCAGCAACUGACAGUCCAGAAAAGCAUAGUUCUGAAGGACCAUUCCAAGAACCCCAUCAAAGAAAUUAAAAGGAAAAAUAACAAGCACCAAAUAUAGGGCAAUUUCUUCAAAUCUUCUGCUUGUUCUUAGUCCAUAAUAAGAACAGAAAAGCUGUUUUGUUUAUUUUGAAUGAAUCAAACCAGUUGGUGCCAGGAAAUGAUUUGGAGCGCAAACACUUUUAAUGACUUAACUGAAAGAUGUUGCUUAAAUCAUUUAAAGAUGUAUGUGAGUGCAUGUGUGAUUCUACCAGUUUGUUUUUUAGAGAUUUUAUAUAGGACAUCUGAGUCAAACUAACAUUUGGACUAAAGCAGCCAAAGUAGUGACAUCACUUGCUCUCCGAUACAAUAUUGUUUACAAUUUUCUGUUUGUUACCCAGAUUUUGGACUUCUGUUUUGGAUUACUCACAUUUGGGUAUUGGCUUUUUGAUUUGGAUUGCAGAAUAAAUCGAUACAGUCGGGUCCUUCUGAUUCA
ensembl:lncRNA